rnacentral:rRNA from 1 species
UAGUACGGCGAGUGAAGAGGAAAGAGCUCAAAGUUGGAACCUGUUUGGCUUAGCUAAACCGGAUUGUAAACUGUAGAAGUGUUUUCCAGACACGCCUGGUAAAAAAGUCCUUUGGAACAGGGCAUCAUAGAGGGUGAGAAUCCCGUCAUUGGCCAGAGCUGUUGUCUUUUGUGAUACAUUUUCAAAGAGUCAGGUUGUUUGGGAAUGCAGCCUAAAUUGGGUGGUAAAUCUCACCUAAAGCUAAAUAUUUGCGAGAGACCGAUAGCGAACAAGUACCGUGAGGGAAAGAUGAAAAGAACUUUGAAAAGAGAGUUAAACAGUAUGUGAAAUUGUUAAAAGGGAACCGUUUGGAGCCAGACUGGCUUGAUCGUAAUCACUCUAGGCUUUGGCCUGGAUGCACUUGCGGUCUAUGCCGGCCAACGACAGUUUUGUUUGAGGGAAAAAAUUACAUUGAAUGUGGCCCUUCGGGGUGUUAUAGCUUUGUAAAAAAUACCUUGGACGGGACUGAGGAACGCAGCGAAUGCCUUUAGGCGAGAUUGCUGGGUGCUUGCGCUGAUACAUGCUAGAAUUUCUGCUUUGGGUGGUGCUAGUGUGUAAAGGAGUAACCCGCUUAGUAUAUUUUUUAUUCGCUUAGGUUGUUGGCUUAAUGACUCUAAAUGACCCGUCUUGACC